GGAGCCUGGCCAGUCUUGGCAGGGGCAGAGCUGAGGGCUGACAUCAGCCUGGCCAGAUGAGCCCGUGCAUGCGCUGGCACCCAAAUCACCCCCCCUUCACUUCUGGGGUGACAGAAGACAUAUGAGCCAUGAACAAGAUCAUAUAUUGAUCUUUCACAGCAUGUAAUUUAUGGAAAUGGCACUUAAUGUAUGUAGAUAAAAGUGACAUUUCUCCUGGACUGUUUAUCUCCAGAGUGUCUUGCAAAAGGAUCACAUUAUGACUCUGCAUAGCAAGAACGUGUAUUCUCUCAACCCUCCAGACCAUACACUUGUUUGUUGUCAGCACAAGCCAUUUAGUUACUAAUUCCCAGGGUUAAUAUACAAUAUCAGGCUAUUACACUACAUUGUAUCACACUUGCUGAAUGACAUUAUGUUUGGCUUAUAUUUAAUUUCAGCUCCAUUUCUAAUUGUUCUGUGGUGGAGUUACAUGACCGAACAGGGCUGUGGAUGUUAUCUGCUGUGCUUGUAAUGCACUGACUGGCUUCUAGCUCAUCCUUUGCCUCCAUCUGUUUCUCUACUGCUCCCAUUGAGCCCACACAACUAUCUCCAGAAGUGAAUAUGAAAGAUGCAGGAAUGAGACUCUACUCCCCAAGCAGAUCAUGACUGAGGACUGUGAGUAGACAGUCUCCUUGGGCUCCCUCCCACCAGUGCAAGGCAUGUAAGCAAUGAGACCAAAGGAGUCCUCCUGGGUUGUGGUGACCAAGCCCAGCUAAUGCAAGCAGGCAUGUCACAUAAACCUGUCCAUAAAGGCAUCUGACAGCCUGCCCUCAUUACUGCUGUGAAGAGACUCUCCAAAAAUCCACUCCUCUAAUGGUCUGGAAAUCAUCCAAGGUCAAGAAUCGAAUGCAGAGGCAGCUCUAAGACUGGGUCUAGCAUGGAGUCAAGAGUAGGAUGCUGUGGUCCUUGCAUCAGCAGAGGGGUCUGCACAGCCACACUUUGCCUGGGGCAGGCUUCCAUCCUAACACCAAGGGAACAGAAGGCAAACAGGCAUUGGUCCUGAGAACAGGCAGUAACAAAAUUAAGCUGGGCCAUCCGAGGAUUGCUCAGUGCCUGCCAUCCCACCAACUACAGGAGGAUACUGGGAGAGGCUGAGAGCUUGAAAAUCAAAACAAAAUCAUGGUGACAGAAAACCACCAAUCAGCCCUAAGCAACUCUCCACUUGUCUCCAGAAAUCUAAGCCUGGGAUUGAUUUAAAUAUGUCUAGAAAUGAGCAGCCAGGUGUUCAGCCUGUUCUUUUCUGUGGGAUCAGGUAUCCCUCUUUUCCAGUGGGUUAAAGCUGUCCAUCUCCUCCUGUCCCUGAUCUGAUAAAGUCAGUGUUGCUAGAAUGCCAAACCUCCUCCCUGAGGUUCUCGGUGGGUUCUGGUUCCUGCUGCAUGUCUGUGAUGGGAAGGUCUGAGACCUCCCCAGCUCAUUUCAUGUGCUGCAGAGCUCAUCUCUCCAGCCUGCCAAGGGGGAGAGGGACAGAUUAACACUGAGAAAAGGCUUUUAUGGGGGAGCAAAGCAGCAAGAAGCAAUGUGUAGCUUACAUCAGUAUUGGAUGCAGAUUCCUGUGAGUGUGUAACUUGCUCCCAGCCUGGAAGCUGGUGUCACCAGUGUUCAAGCGUUCAAAAAAGCUUUUUACUGCUGCCCCUUUCUGGGUGCUUUUGUGGAAGGGGAGGAUAGAGAAUUGGCAGCAUGUUGGUAGAGAGCCGGGAGAGGGGGGAAUGAGGGUUUAAAGCUUGAAUCCUAUCGAGUUCAUUCCUCUGACAGCUUCAAGAAGGGGAAGAGACACCCCC